AGUGAACGCUGGCGGUAGGCCUAACACAUGCAAGUCGAACGGCAGCACAGUAAGAGCUUGCUCUUACGGGUGGCGAGUGGCGGACGGGUGAGGAAUACAUCGGACUCUACUUUUUCGUGGGGGUUAACGUAGGGAAACUUACGCUAAUACCGCAUACGACCUACGGGUGAAAGCAGGGGAUCUUCGGACCUUGCGCGAUUGAAUGAGCCGAUGUCGGAUUAGCUAGUUGGCGGGGUAAAGGCCCACCAAGGCGACGAUCCGUAGCUGGUCUGAGAGGAGGGUACGCCACACUGGAACGUGGACACGGUCCAGGCGCCUAUGAGACGGAGCAGUGGGGAAUGUGGGACAAUGGGGGGAAGCCUGAUCCAGCCAUACCGCGUGUGAGAAGAAGGCCUUCGGGUUGGAAAGCCCUUUUGUUGGGAAAGAAAAGCAGCAGGUUAAUACCCCGCUGUUCUGACGGUACCCAAAGAAUAAGCACCGGCUAACUUCGUG
rnacentral:rRNA from 1 species